UACACUACAUCUUUUCUUGGACUUUGCUCUCAAAAUAAAGGUAGAGAAAGGUGUAUUGUAGA
rnacentral:pre_miRNA from 1 species